rnacentral:misc_RNA from 1 species
AACACUGUUAACCUGCGGUACCUGCGGAGGGAUCAUUACCGACACCUGCCAGCAGCGAACGAGCGAAGCGAGUGAGCGCUGGCAUGGUGGAGCCAAAGCCAGAGGAGCAACCGCACUUGUCUGCGACGCUUUUUUUCUGGCAGGUCUUCGACCUGGCACCUGGUUCCAAUAAGACCAAAACACAAACAAAACAUCAAAACAACCAAAAAAUACAACUUUCAACAACGGAUCUCAGAUCGG